CCUACGGGAGGCAGCAGUGAGGAAUAUUGGUCAAUGGACGAGAGUCUGAACCAGCCAAGUAGCGUGAAGGAUGACUGCCCUAUGGGUUGUAAACUUCUUUUAUAAAGGAAUAAAACGAGGCACGUGUGCCUUUUUGCAUGUACUUUAUGAAUAAGGAUCGGCUAACUCCGUGCCAGCAGCCGCGGUAAUACGGAGGAUCCGAGCGUUAUCCGGAUUUAUUGGGUUUAAAGGGAGCGUAGAUGGGUUGUUAAGUCAGUUGUGAAAGUUUGCGGCUCAACCGUAAAAUUGCAAUUGAUACUGGCAGUCGUGAGUACAGUUGAGGUAGGCGGAAUUCGUGGUGUAGCGGUGAAAUGCUGAGAUAUCACGAAGAAGCCCGAUUGCGACGGCAGCUUACUAAACUGUGACUGACAUUGAUGCUCGAAAGUGUGGGUAUCAAACAGGAUUAGAUACCCUGGUAGUC
rnacentral:rRNA from 1 species